AUACGGAGGAUGCGAGCGUUAUCCGGAUUUAUUGGGUUUAAAGGGUGCGCAGGCGGCGCGUUAAGUCAGCGGUGAAAUGUCCCGGCUCAACCGGGGAGCUGCCGUUGAUACUGGCGUGCUGGAGUACGGACGGCGCCGGCGGAAUGUGUCAUGUAGCGGUGAAAUGCUUAGAUAUGCCACAGAACACCGAUCGCGAAGGCAGCUGGCGAGGCCGGUACUGACGCUCAUGCACGAAAGCGUGGGGAUCAAACAGGAUUAGAUACCCUGGUAGUCCACGCAGUAAACGAUGAGGACUUGUUGUCGGCGAUAGAUAGUCGGUGACAAAGCGAAAGCGAUAAGUCCUCCACCUGGGGAGUACGAUCGCAAGGUUGAAACUCAAAGGAAUUGACGGGG
rnacentral:rRNA from 1 species